rnacentral:rRNA from 1 species
GCCGCGGUAAUACGGAGGAUCCAAGCGUUAUCCGGAUUUAUUGGGUUUAAAGGGUGCGUAGGCGGCGUUGUAAGUCAGUGGUGAAAGUUUGCAGCUUAACUGUAAAAUUGCCAUUGAUACUGCAGUGCUUGAGUACAGAUGAGGUGGGCGGAAUGUGUCAUGUAGCGGUGAAAUGCAUAGAUAUGACACAGAACACCGAUUGCGAAGGCAGCUCACUAAACUGUAACUGACGCUGAGGCACGAAAGCGUGGGGAUCAAACAG